rnacentral:rRNA from 1 species
AUGCAGGUGCUACAGUACAUACGUGAAUUCGUGAGACUGCGGAAGGCUCAGUAAAUCAUUUAUCAUCUAUUUGAUUGUCUAGCCCAUUGGAUAACCGUGGGAAAUCUAGAGCUAAUACAUGUAGUUAAUUGGUGGUGUACUAUUUAUAUUGGACCACCAAUGCAUUUAUUACAUGAAGCCAACUGCUUGUUGGGGGUGCAAAUCUCCAACUUGUAAGGUGAGUCUAGAUAACUGUGCAGAUCGUAUGGCCUUGUGCUGACGACGUUUCAAUUGAAUUUCUGCCCUAUCAACUAGUUGGUAAGGUAGAUGCUAACCAAGGUUGUGACGGGUAACGGGGAAUCAGGGUUCGAUUCCGGAGAGGGAGCUUGAGAAUUGGCUACCACAUCCAAGGAAGGCAGCAGGCGCGCAAAUUACCCAAUUCAGACAGUGAGAGGUGGUGACGAGAAUUACCAAGUGGUGACCAUAAGGUUGCCAAUUUGGAAUGAACGUAAUUUAAGAAAUUCGAUGAGUAACAACUGGAGGGCAAGUCCGGUGCCAGCACCCGCGGUAAUUCCGGCUCCAGUAGCGUAUUUUAAAAUUGUUGCGCUUAAAACGCUCGUGUUGGAUGACACAGUCAUGAUCAGUUGAUUGUCAUGGUUAUACAUUAAACUUUGACUCUCUACUGUAGAUGUCUAACGACGUAUAUGGUGUUGAGUUGAAAGUAUAACUAUGGCAAUUGUGUGCUGAAUGUGACUAGUUGCACGUGAGGAUGAUGGUUGACCUUUAGUGCGUUGACUGUUAUGUCUCACGGAGUGUGCCUUGAAUAAAUCAGAGUGCUCAAAGCAGGCUUUAAGCUUGAAUGUUAAUAGCAUGGAACGAACAAACGUGUUUAUGUAUAAUAUAAUUGAUUUUGAUUUGUCUAUGAUAGAUUAUUGUGUUUUUGUGUUGUACUGCACCAACCACCAAUAACGGACGUUGGUUCCGUAUUGGGGUGAUGAUUAAAAAGAGCGGUUGGGGGCAUUGGUAUUUGUCCGCGAGAGGUGAAAUUCUUGGACCGGACAAGGACUAACAAAUGCGAAGGCAUUUGCCUAGACCGUCUCUAUUAAUCAAGAACGAUAGAGGAAGGAUCGAAGAGGAUCAGAUACCCUCGUAGUUUCCUCCGUAAACUAUGCCAACCCGGGAUGAGUUUAGAGCUAAUUAUAACGCUCUAGGUAUGGUCCCCCUGGGAAACCUGAAGUUUUUCGGUUGCGGGGGGAGUAUGGUUGCAAAGCUGAAACUUAAAGGAAUUGACGGAAGGGCACCACCAGGAGUGGAGCCUGCGGCUUAAUUUGACUCAACACGGGAAAUUUACCUGGGUGA